rnacentral:rRNA from 1 species
GGACGAACGCUGGCGGCGUGCCUAAUACAUGCAAGUCGAGCGAAGUUUUUCUGGUGCUUGCACCGGAAAAACUUAGCGGCGAACGGGUGAGUAACACGUAAAGAACCUGCCUUAUAGACUGGGACAACUAUUGGAAACGAUAGCUAAUACCGGAUAACAGCAUUAACUGCAUGGUUGAUGUUUGAAAGUUGGUUUUGCUAACACUAUGAGAUGGCUUUGCGGUGCAUUAGCUAGUUGGUGGGGUAAAGGCCUACCAAGGCGACGAUGCAUAGCCGACCUGAGAGGGUGAUCGGCCACACUGGGACUGAGACACGGCCCAGACUCCUACGGGAGGCAGCAGUAGGGAAUCUUCCGCAAUGGGCGAAAGCCUGACGGAGCAACGCCGCGUGAGUGAAGAAGGAUUUCGGUUCGUAAAGCUCUGUUGUUAGGGAAGAAUGAUUGUGUAGUAACUAUACACAGUAGAGACGGUACCUAACCAGAAAGCCACGGCUAACUACGUG